rnacentral:rRNA from 1 species
UACGUAGGGGGCAAGCGUUGUCCGGAAUUAUUGGGCGUAAAGCGCGCGCAGGCGGUGAUUUAAGUUUGGUGUUUAAGCCCGGGGCUCAACCUCGGUUCGCAUCGAAAACUGGGUCACUUGAGUGUAGGAGAGGAAAGUGGAAUUCCACGUGUAGCGGUGAAAUGCGUAGAGAUGUGGAGGAACACCAGUGGCGAAGGCGACUUUCUGGCCUAUAACUGACGCUGAGGCGCGAAAGCGUGGGGAGCAAACAGG